GACGAACGCUGGCGGCGUGCUUAACACAUGCAAGUCGAACGGAAAGGCCCUGCUUUUGUGGGGUGCUCGAGUGGCGAACGGGUGAGUAACACGUGGGUAACCUGCCCUUGACUUUGGGAUAACUUCAGGAAACUGGGGCUAAUACCGGAUAGGAGCUCCUGCUGCAUGGUGGGGGUUGGAAAGUUUCGGCGGUUGGGGAUGGACUCGCGGCUUAUCAGCUUGUUGGUGGGGUAGUGGCUUACCAAGGCUUUGACGGGUAGCCGGCCUGAGAGGGUGACAGGCCACAUUGGGACUGAGAUACGGCCCAGACUGCUCCGGGAGGCAGCAGUGGGGAAUAUUGCACAAUGGGCGGAAGCCUGAUGCAGCAACGCCGCGUGCGGGAUGACGGCCUUCGGGUUGUAAACCGCUUUCGCCUGUGACGAAGCGUGAGUGACGGUAAUGGGUAAAGAAGCACCGGCUAACUACGUG
rnacentral:rRNA from 1 species